AGCUCCAAUAGCGUAUAUUAAAGUUGUUGCAGUUAAAAAGCUCGUAGUUGGAUUUCGGGAUGGGCCAGUUGGUCGGCCGCAAGGUCUGUUACUGACUGGUUUGUUCUUCUUCGCAAAGACUGCGUGUGCUCUUUACUGAGUGUGCGUAGGAUUUACGACGUUUACUUUGAAAAAAUUAGAGUGUUCAAAGCAGGCUAUCGCUUGAAUACAUGAGCAUGGAAUAAUGGAAUAGGACUUUGGUUCUAUUUUGUUGGUUUCUAGGGCCGAAGUAAUGAUUAAGAGGGACAAUUGGGGGCAUCCGUAUUUCGUUGUCAGAGGUGAAAUUCUUGGAUUUACGAAAGACGAACAACUGCGAAAGCACUUGCCAAGAGUGUUUUCAUUAAUCAAGAACGAAAGUACG
rnacentral:rRNA from 1 species